rnacentral:rRNA from 13 species
AUAGGGGAGCCGCAGGGAAACCGAGUCUUAACUGGGCGUUAAGUUGCAGGGUAUAGACCCGAAACCCGGUGAUCUAGCCAUGGGCAGGUUGAAGGUUGGGUAACACUAACUGGAGGACCGAACCGACUAAUGUUGAAAAAUUAGCGGAUGACUUGUGGCUGGGGGUGAAAGGCCAAUCAAACCGGGAGAUAGCUGGUUCUCCCCGAAAGCUAUUUAGGUAGCGCCUCGUGAACUCAUCUUCGGGGGUAGAGCACUGUUUCGGCUAGGGGGUCAUCCCGACUUACCAACCCGAUGCAAACUACGAAUACCGAAGAAUGUUAUCACGGGAGACACACGGCGGGUGCUAACGUCCGUCGUGAAGAGGGAAACAACCCAGACCGCCAGCUAAGGUCCCAAAGUCAUGGUUAAGUGGGAAACGAUGUGGGAAGGCCCAGACAGCCAGGAUGUUGGCUUAGAAGCAGCCAUCAUUUAAAGAAAGCGUAAUAGCUCACUGGUCGAGUCGGCCUGCGCGGAAGAUGUAACGGGGCUAAACCAUGCACCGAAGCUGCGGCAGCGACGCUUAUGCGUUGUUGGGUAGGGGAGCGUUCUGUAAGCCGUUGAAGGUGGCCUGUGAGGGUUGCUGGAGGUAUCAGAAGUGCGAAUGCUGACAUAAGUAACGAUAAUGCGGGUGAAAAACCCGCACGCCGGAAGACCAAGGGUUCCUGUCCAACGUUAAUCGGGGCAGGGUGAGUCGACCCCUAAGGCGAGGCCGAAAGGCGUAGUCGAUGGGAAACAGGUUAAUAUUCCUGUACUUGGUGUUACUGCGAAGGGGGGACGGAGAAGGCUAUGUUGGCCGGGCGACGGUUGUCCCGGUUUAAGCAUGUAGGCGGAUGUUCCAGGUAAAUCCGGAACGUUAUUAACGCUGAGGUGUGAUGACGAGGCACUACGGUGCUGAAGUGACAAAUGCCCUGCUUCCAGGAAAAGCCUCUAAGCAUCAGGUAACAUCAAAUCGUACCCCAAACCGACACAGGUGGUCAGGUAGAGAAUACCAAGGCGCUUGAGAGAACUCGGGUGAAGGAACUAGGCAAAAUGGUGCCGUAACUUCGGGAGAAGGCACGCUGAUGGUAAGUGAAGUGACUUGCUCAUGGAGCUGAAAUCAGUCGAAGAUACCAGCUGGCUGCAACUGUUUAUUAAAAACACAGCACUGUGCAAACACGAAAGUGGACGUAUACGGUGUGACGCCUGCCCGGUGCCGGAAGGUUAAUUGAUGGGGUUAUCCUCGCGGAGAAGCUCUUGAUCGAAGCCCCGGUAAACGGCGGCCGUAACUAUAACGGUCCUAAGGUAGCGAAAUUCCUUGUCGGGUAAGUUCCGACCUGCACGAAUGGCGUAAUGAUGGCCAGGCUGUCUCCACCCGAGACUCAGUGAAAUUGAACUCGCUGUGAAGAUGCAGUGUACCCGCGGCAAGACGGAAAGACCCCGUGAACCUUUACUAUAGCUUGACACUGAACACUGGUCCUUGAUGUGUAGGAUAGGUGGGAGGCUUUGAAGUGUGGACGCCAGUCUGCAUGGAGCCGUCCUUGAAAUACCACCCUUUAAUGGCUGGUGUUCUAACGUGGGCCCGUGAUCCGGGUUGCGGACAGUGUCUGGUGGGUAGUUUGACUGGGGCGGUCUCCUCCUAAAGAGUAACGGAGGAGCACGAAGGUCAGCUAAUCCUGGUCGGACAUCAGGAGGUUAGUGCAAUGGCAUAAGCUGGCUUGACUGCGAGCGUGACGGCGCGAGCAGGUGCGAAAGCAGGUCAUAGUGAUCCGGUGGUUCUGAAUGGAAGGGCCAUCGCUCAACGGAUAAAAGGUACUCCGGGGAUAACAGGCUGAUACCGCCCAAGAGUUCAUAUCGACGGCGGUGUUUGGCACCUCGAUGUCGGCUCAUCACAUCCUGGGGCUGAAGUAGGUCCCAAGGGUAUGGCUGUUCGCCAUUUAAAGUGGUACGCGAGCUGGGUUUAGAACGUCGUGAGACAGUUCGGUCCCUAUCUGCCGUGGGCGCUGGAGAAUUGAGGGGGGCUGCUCCUAGUACGAGAGGACCGGAGUGGACGCAUCACUGGUGUUCGGGUUGUCAUGCCAAUGGCAUUGCCCGGUAGCUAAAUGCGGAAGAGAUAAGUGCUGAAAGCAUCUAAGCACGAAACUUGCCCCGAGAUGAGUUCUCCCUGACCCUUUAAGGGUCCUGAAGGAACGUUGAAGACGACGACGUUGAUAGGCCGGGUGUGUAAGCGCAGCGAUGCGUUGAGCUAACCGGUACUAAUGAACCGUGAGGCUUAACCUUACAACGCCGAAG